UACAGAGGUCUCGAGCGUUGUUCGGAUUCAUUGGGCGUAAAGGGUGCGUAGGUGGCGCUGUAAGUCGGGUGUGAAAUCCUGAGGCUUAACCUCGGAACUGCAUUCGAUACUGCGGCGCUUGAGGACUGGAGAGGAGAUUGGAAUUUACGGUGUAGCAGUGAAAUGCGUAGAUAUCGUAAGGAAGACCAGUGGCGAAGGCGAAUCUCUGGACAGUUACUGACACUGAGGCACGAAGGCCAGGGGAGCAAACGGG
rnacentral:rRNA from 1 species